rnacentral:tRNA from 1 species
CGACCCGAGGCGCAACAGGAUGCGCGCCGGUCUCCUAAGCCGGAGGGUGUGAGUUCAAGUCUCACCGGGUCGA